rnacentral:rRNA from 1 species
GAGUUUGAUCAUGGCUCAGGAUGAACGCUAGCGACAGGCUUAACACAUGCAAGUCGAGGGGCAGCGGGGGAGUAGCAAUACUCCCGCCGGCGACCGGCGCACGGGUGAGUAACACGUAUGAAACCUGCCCGUAGCAGGGGGAUAAGCGGAAGAAAUUCCGUCUAAUACCGCGUAACAACCCAUGGAGGCAUCUCCGUGGGUUUAAAGGAAGCGAUUCCGGCUACGGAUGGUCAUGCGUCGCAUUAGCUGGUUGGCGGGGUAACGGCCCACCAAGGCGACGAUGCGUAGGGGUUCUGAGAGGAAGGUCCCCCACACUGGUACUGAGACACGGACCAGACUCCUACGGGAGGCAGCAGUGAGGAAUAUUGGUCAAUGGCCGCAGGGCUGAACCAGCCAAGUCGCGUGAGGGAUGACGGUCCUAUGGAUUGUAAACCUCUUUUGUCAGGGAGCAAAGGGCGCCACGUGUGGCGCUUUGCGAGUACCUGAAGAAAAAGCAUCGGCUAACUCCGUGCCAGCAGCCGCGGUAAUACGGAGGAUGCGAGCGUUAUCCGGAUUUAUUGGGUUUAAAGGGUGCGCAGGCGGAAUGUCAAGUCAGCGGUAAAAUUUCGGGGCUCAACCCCGUCGUGCCGUUGAAACUGGCGUUCUUGAGUGAGCGAGAAGUAUGCGGAAUGCGUGGUGUAGCGGUGAAAUGCAUAGAUAUCACGCAGAACUCCGAUUGCGAAGGCAGCAUACCGGCGCUCAACUGACGCUCAUGCACGAAAGCGUGGGUAUCGAACAGGAUUAGAUACCCUGGUAGUCCACGCAGUAAACGAUGAAUACUAACUGUCCGGGCAGAAUGAUGCCUGGGUGGUACAGCGAAAGCGUUAAGUAUUCCACCUGGGGAGUACGCCGGCAACGGUGAAACUCAAAGGAAUUGACGG